AACGAACGCUGGCGGCAGGCUUAACACAUGCAAGUCGAACGCAUCGCAAGAUGAGUGGCAGACGGGAGAGUAACGCGUGGGAACAUACCCUUUUCUACGGAAUAGCUCUGGGAAACUGGAAUUAAUACCGUAUACGCCCUACGGGGGAAAGAUUUAUCGGGGAAGGAUUGGCCCGCGUUGGAUUAGCUAGUGGGUUGGGUAAAGGCCUACCAAGGCGACGAUACAUAGCUGGUCUGAGAGGAUGAUCAGCCACAUUGGGACUGAGACACGGCCCAAACUCCUACGGGAGGCAGCAGUGGGGAAUAUUGGACAAUGGGCGCAAGCCUGAUCCAGCCAUGCCGCGUGAGUGAUGAAGGCCUUAGGGUUGUAAAGCUCUUUCACCGAUGAAGAUAAUGACGGUAGUCGGAGAAGAAGCCCCGGCUAACUUCGUGCCAGCAGCCGCCGUAAUAC
rnacentral:rRNA from 1 species